rnacentral:rRNA from 1 species
AACGAACGCUGGCGGCAGGCUUAACACAUGAAAGUCGAGCGCCCCGCAAGGGGAGCGGCAGACGGGUGAGUAACGCGUGGGAACGUGCCCUUUGGUUCGGAACAACUCCGGGAAACUGGAGCUAAUACCGGAUAAGCCCUUCGGGGGAAAGAUUUAUCGCCAAAGGAUCGGCCCGCGUCUGAUUAGCUAGUUGGUGGGGUAAUGGCCCACCAAGGCGACGAUCAGUAGCUGGUCUGAGAGGAUGAUCAGCCACACUGGGACUGAGACACGGCCCAGACUCCUACGGGAGGCAGCAGUGGGGAAUAUUGGACAAUGGGCGCAAGCCUGAUCCAGCCAUGCCGCGUGAGUGAUGAAGGCCUUAGGGUUGUAAAGCUCUUUUGUCCGGGAAGAUAAUGACUGUACCGGAAGAAUAAGCCCCGGCUAACUUCGUGCCAGCCGCCGCAGUAAAAC